rnacentral:rRNA from 1 species
AUGAAUGCGGCAUCACCAGUGACGGUCACCGUCCUACUGGCAUGGCAUGGCAUGGCAUGUAUACAGUUCACAACAAGUGUAGUGCUCAAGCCGUUGAGCAGCAUCACACCAUCAUCACGCGACCAAGCAUCCAGCAAAGAAGAACCACAUCGAGCACGGAAAGAACAAAAGUUUCUCUUUUAUUUUAUUCACUCUACUCUAUAUGGAGAUCACCAAUGCAUGCAUAUCAGUGCAGGAGGGUUGCAAAUUUCCUUCUAUAUAUGGAGAUCUCUUAUUAAUUUGCUAUCAUUAACAAGAUAUAGAGCCAAUUAA